rnacentral:rRNA from 1 species
CCCUUAGAUGUUCUGGGCCGCACGCGCGCUACACUGAUGAAUUCAACGAGCUCCUAACCUAGGCCGAAGGGUCCGGGUAAUCUUUGAAAUUUCAUCGUGAUGGGGAUAGAUUAUUGCAAUUAUUAAUCUUCGACGAGGAAUUCCUAGUAAGCGCGAGUCAUCAGCUCGCGUUGAUUACGUCCCUGCCCUUUGUACACACCGCCCGUCGCUCCUACCGAUUGAAUGGUCCGGUGAAAUGUUCGGAUCGCGGCAAAUCGGACGGGUAACCGUCAGGUUCGCUGCGAGAAGUUCAUUAAACCUUAUCAUUUAGAGGAAGGAGAANUCGUAACA